rnacentral:snoRNA from 1 species
UUUUCUAAUGAUGAUUCAACAAUGCAUUACAGUUAUCCCUGUCAGACAUGGUAACAGUUCUAUGGUGUUACCUAAACUAUCUGAAAGAAAA